rnacentral:RNase_P_RNA from 1 species
GAAGCCCACCAGACCGCCGCCGGUGCAAGUGCUGAAAAGCCGCACUGGAGGAACGUCCGGACUGCACAGGGCAGCGUAGCAGCUAACGGCUGUCCAUCGCGAGGUGAGGAUCAGAGCAACAGAGACGAGUUCGAGCGCAGCAGCGUCCGUCAUGGGGUGUUCUGCGGUUCGCCGAUGCAAGUCGGUGCGGCUGGCGCAAGCCAGGCGGUGACAGGUGCAAGCCCGGCACGACGCAGCCACCUCGGGCGCGAAGCGCACGAGGUGAAACGGGCAAUCUCUACGCGCAGCAACACCAAGUAGGCACACGUUGACGGGGCCCCCGGAGUGUGCGGGUAGGUGGCAUCGAGCCGGUGGGGCGACUCCCGGCCAAGAGUAAUGGCGGUCACGUUUGGGCGACCAGACGCACAGAAUCCGGCUUAUCGGUGGGCUUCACAC